rnacentral:rRNA from 1 species
GACGAACGCUGGCGGCGUGCUUAACACAUGCAAGUCGAACGGAAAGGCCCUGCUUUUGUGGGUUGCUCGAGUGGCGAACGGGUGAGUAACACGUGAGUAACCUGCCCUUGACUUUGGGAUAACUUCAGGAAACUGGGGCUAAUACCGGAUAGGAGCUCCUGCUGCAUGGUGGGGGUUGGAAAGUUUCGGCGGUUGGGGAUGGACUCGCGGCUUAUCAGCUUGUUGGUGGGGUAGUGGAUUACCAAGGCUUUGACGGGUAGCCGGCCUGAGAGGGUGACCGGCCACAUUGGGACUGAGAUACGGCCCAGACUCCUACGGGAGGCAGCAGGGGGGAACAUUGCACAAUGGGCGGAAGCCUGAGGCAGCAACGCCGCGUGCGGGAUGACGGCCUUCGGGUUGUAAACCGCUUUCGCCGGUGACGAAGCGUGAGUGACGGUAAUGGGUAAAGAAGCACCGGCUAACUACGUG